rnacentral:lncRNA from 1 species
UUUUUCUUUCUUUUUCUUUGUGUUGCUUUUUUCUUUCUUUAUAUAUACAUAUAUUGUUAAGAAAAAAAAAUUUACCUUUUCCGGCCACCGUGGGCGGUGGCCGACGAUUGGCCGGUGACCGGCCCCCCUUGGCCGGAUUUCCUUUCCCCCUCCCUUCUCUCUUCUUUCUCCCUUCUUUUUUUUUUCUUUCUCUCUUCAAAAUGAUUUUUUUUUGUCAAAAAUUAGCCUUAAAGUAUGUAGCGCUUUGCGAUUUAGUCCCUCUUGCUAUGUUAUGUUUUGAGGGGAGGAUUAAUUGUGUUUUGGCCCCCCACUAUUUCCGCGCAUGCUCAAUAUAGUCCUUUCCUUUUAUUUUUAUUUCAAUUUUACCCCAAAUAUUUUGUUUUUAGUUCAAU